rnacentral:rRNA from 1 species
AGUAACACGUGGGUAACCUGCCUGUAAGAUUGGGAUAACUCCGGGAAACCGGAGCUAAUACCGGAUAAUAUAUCGAACCGCAUGGUUCGAUAUUGAAAGAUGGUUUCGGCUAUCACUUACAGAUGGACCCGCGGCGCAUUAGCUAGUUGGUGAGGUAACGGCUCACCAAGGCGACGAUGCGUAGCCGACCUGAGAGGGUGAUCGGCCACACUGGGACUGAGACACGGCCCAGACUCCUACGGGAGGCAGCAGUAGGGAAUCUUCCGCAAUGGACGAAAGUCUGACGGAGCAACGCCGCGUGAGCGAAGAAGGCCUUCGGGUCGUAAAGCUCUGUUGUUAGGGAAGAACAAGUACGAGAGUAACUGCUCGUACCUUGACGGUACCUAACCAGAAAGCCACGGCUAACUACGUGCCAGCAGCCGCGGUAAUACGUAGGUGGCAAGCGUUGUCCGGAAUUAUUGGGCGUAAAGCGCGCGCAGGCGGUUUCUUAAGUCUGAUGUGAAAGCCCACGGCUCAACCGUGGAGGGUCAUUGGAAACUGGGGAACUUGAGUGCAGAAGAGGAGAGUGGAAUUCCACGUGUAGCGGUGAAAUGCGUAGAGAUGUGGAGGAACACCAGUGGCGAAGGCGACUCUCUGGUCUG